CCUAGGGCGGCAGCAGUGAGGAAUAUUGGACAAUGGUCGGAAGACUGAUCCAGCCAUGCCGCGUGCAGGAUGACGGCCUUAUGGGUUGUAAACUGCUUUUGUAAGGGAAGAAUAAGAGCUACGCGUAGUUUGAUGACGGUACCUUACGAAUAAGCAUCGGCUAACUCCGUGCCAGCAGCCGCGGUAAUACGGAGGAUGCGAGCGUUAUCCGGAAUCAUUGGGUUUAAAGGGUCCGUAGGCGGGCUAAUAAGUCAGGGGUGAAAUCGUUCAGCUCAACUGAGCAACUGCCUUUGAAACUGUUAGUCUUGAAUAGUUGUGAAGUAGUUGGAAUGUGUAGUGUAGCGGUGAAAUGCUUAGAGAUUACACAGAACACCGAUAGCGAAGGCAUAUUACUAACAAUUGAUUGACGCUGAUGGACGAAAGCGUGGGGAGCGAACAGGAUUAGAUACCCCUGUAGGUC
rnacentral:rRNA from 1 species